ACAUUUUAGCUUAGAUGAGAUUAGAUUCGAUUAGACUGAACUUUAUUAAUCCAUUGGGAAGACUCCCUCAGGGAAAUUGAGGUUCAAGCAGCAUUGUAUAGCAGCACACAGGGUAAGAAGCACACUGAGUAUCAAAAGUGAAAG